GUUACCAGCACGUUAUGUGGGCACUCUAAGGAGACUGCCGGUGACAACCGGAGGAAGGUGGGGAUGACGUCAAGUCAUCAUGGCCCUUACGGCCUGGGCUACACACGUGCUACAAUGGUCGGUACAAAGGGUUGCCAAGCCGCGAGGUGGAGCUAAUCCCAUAAAACCGAUCGUAGUCCGGAUCGCAGUCUGCAACUCGACUGCGUGAAGUCGGAAUCGCUAGUAAUCGUGAAUCAGAAUGUCACGGUGAGUACGUUCCCGGGCCUU
rnacentral:rRNA from 1 species